rnacentral:rRNA from 1 species
CCUACGGGUGGCAGCAGUGGGGGAUAUUGCACAAUGGGGGGAACCCUGAUGCAGCGACGCCGCGUGGGCGAAGAAGCGCCUCGGCGCGUAAAGCCCUGUCAGCAGGGAAGAAAAUGACGGUACCUGACUAAGAAGCCCCGGCUAACUACGUGCCAGCAGCCGCGGUAAUACGUAGGGGGCAAGCGUUAUCCGGAUUUACUGGGUGUAAAGGGGGCGUAGACGGUGAUGCAAGCCAGGAGUGAAAGCCCGGGGCCCAACCCCGGGACUGCACUUGGAACUGCGUGGCUAGAGUGCAGGAGGGGCAGGCGGAAUUCCUGGUGUAGCGGUGAAAUGCGUAGAUAUCAGGAGGAACACCGGUGGCGAAGGCGGCCUGCUGGACUGCGACUGACGUUGAGGCCCGAAAGCGUGGGGAGCAAACAGGAUUAGAUACCCGUGUAGUC